CUUUGAUGCCUUGACCUUGGCAAGCUUGAAUAUCAGAGCUUAAACCAGUGCAACCAUUAGAACUAGGAACACAAUGACCGGCUAGGUUCAGCACAGGAGUUUGGCCAUUCCCAAAAUUAGACAAGAAAGCUACGUUCACAUAUUGAUAGUUUCCCGAGGCACAAGUUUCAGCCAAGGUGCCUUCAUUGCCAUUUUGGCCCCAAUAGAUGGCAAUACCUGCUCCAGAAGAGGGGUUGCAUAAGGUAAGAACUAAGAGGGAGAUAAGUAGGGUGAUAGGUUGUGAAUAAUGGUAGGCCAUUUUCUUUGACAUCUAACGUGUAAGUAGCUUG
rnacentral:misc_RNA from 1 species